GUGAAGGUGUGUCGUGAGGCAUGCUGGAGGUAUCAGAAGUGCGAAUGCUGACAUAAGUAACGAUAAAGCGGGUGAAAAGCCCGCUCGCCGGAAGACCAAGGGUUCCUGUCCAACGUUAAUCGGGGCAGGGUGAGUCGACCCCUAAGGCGAGGCCGAAAGGCGUAGUCGAUGGGAAACGGGUUAAUAUUCCCGUACUUGGUGUUACUGCGAAGGGGGGACGGAGAAGGCUAUGUUGGCCGGGCGACGGUUGUCCCGGUUUAAGCGUGUAGGUGUGUGUUCCAGGUAAAUCCGGUUCACUUUAACACUGAGGCGUGAUGACGAGGCACUACGGUGCUGAAGCAACAAAUGCCCUGCUUCCAGGAAAAGCCUCUAAGCAUCAGGUAACAUCAAAUCGUACCCCAAACCGACACAGGUGGUCAGGUAGAGAAUACCAAGGCGCUUGAGAGAACUCGGGUGAAGGAACUAGGCAAAAUGGUGCCGUAACUUCGGGAGAAGGCACGCUGACACGUAGGUGAAGUGAUUUACUCACGGAGCUGAAGUCAGUCGAAGAUACCAGCUGGCUGCAACUGUUUAUUAAAAACACAGCACUGUGCAAACACGAAAGUGGACGUAUACGGUGUGACGCCUGCCCGGUGCCGGAAGGUUAAUUGAUGGGGUCAGCGCAAGCGAAGCUCCUGAUCGAAGCCCCGGUAAACGGCGGCCGUAACUAUAACGGUCCUAAGGUAGCGAAAUUCCUUGUCGGGUAAGUUCCGACCUGCACGAAUGGCGUAAUGAUGGCCAGGCUGUCUCCACCCGAGACUCAGUGAAAUUGAACUCGCUGUGAAGAUGCAGUGUACCCGCGGCAAGACGGAAAGACCCCGUGAACCUUUACUAUAGCUUGACACUGAACAUUGAGCCUUGAUGUGUAGGAUAGGUGGGAGGCUUUGAAGCGUGGACGCCAGUCUGCGUGGAGCCGACCUUGAAAUACCACCCUUUAAUGUUUGAUGUUCUAACGUGGACCCGUAAUCCGGGUUGCGGACAGUGUCUGGUGGGUAGUUUGACUGGGGCGGUCUCCUCCUAAAGAGUAACGGAGGAGCACGAAGGUUGGCUAAUCCUGGUCGGACAUCAGGAGGUUAGUGCAAUGGCAUAAGC
rnacentral:rRNA from 1 species